rnacentral:rRNA from 1 species
CCUACGGGAGGCAGCAGUGGGGAAUAUUGCACAAUGGGCGCAAGCCUGAUGCAGCAACGCCGCGUGAGGGACGACGGCCUUCGGGUUGUAAACCUCUUUUAGUAGGGAAGAAGCGAAAGUGACGGUACCUGCAGAAAAAGCACCGGCUAACUACGUGCCAGCAGCCGCGGUAAUACGUAGGGUGCAAGCGUUAUCCGGAAUUAUUGGGCGUAAAGAGCUCGUAGGCGGUUUGUCGCGUCUGCUGUGAAAACUGGAGGCUCAACCUCCAGCCUGCAGUGGGUACGGGCAAACUAGAGUGCGGUAGGGGAGAUUGGAAUUCCUGGUGUAGCGGUGGAAUGCGCAGAUAUCAGGAGGAACACCGAUGGCGAAGGCAGAUCUCUGGGCCGUAACUGACGCUGAGGAGCGAAAGCAUGGGGAGCGAACAGGAUUAGAUACCCUGGUAGUCCAUGCCGUAAACGUUGGGCGCUAGAUGUGGGGACCAUUCCACGGUUUCCGUGUCGCNGCUACGCAUAGACGCCCGCCGUCGGGAGGUACGGCCGCGACGGACGUAAACUAACGAAAGAAGUAGACGGCGUGAGACGCGCCGACGGACGACGACGAGGGAGGAGG